UUACCGAGUUUACAACUCCCAAACCCAAUGUGAACGUUACCAAACUGUUGCCUCGGCGGGAUCUCUGCCCCGGGUGCGUCGCAGCCCCGGACCAAGGCGCCCGCCGGAGGACCAACCAAAACUCUUAUUGUAUACCCCCUCGCGGGUUUUUUUAUAAUCUGAGCCUUCUCGGCGCCUCUCGUAGGCGUUUCGAAAAUGAAUCAAAACUUUCAACAACGGAUCUCUUGGUUCUGGCAUCGAUGAAGAACGCAGCGAAAUGCGAUAAGUAAUGUGAAUUGCAGAAUUCAGUGAAUCAUCGAAUCUUUGAACGCACAUUGCGCCCGCCAGUAUUCUGGCGGGCAUGCCUGUCCGAGCGUCAUUUCAACCCUCGAACCCCUCCGGGGGGUCGGCGUUGGGGAUCGGCCCUCCCUUAGCGGGUGGCCGUCUCCGAAAUACAGUGGCGGUCUCGCCGCAGCCUCUCCUGCGCAGUAGUUUGCACACUCGCAUCGGGAGCGCGGCGCGUCCACAGCCGUUAAACACCCAACUUCUGAAAUGUUGACCUCGG
rnacentral:rRNA from 1 species